CAGUGAUUUAGGUGCUGGCAUUGGAGCGUGAAGGGCCUGCUUGUCCCCACAGCGCAGAUGUGGAAACUGAGGCCCAGGAGGCCAAGGGGAAGACACAGAAAUGAAUUCCAAACCAAGGAAGAUAAGAAGUGGUCAUGGGGCAGAAGGGAAGUUUCUGAUGGAGAAGGGCAUGGGGACAGAGGCUGUAGAGACACAGAGCUGUGACCAAUUGUCAGGGAGAAAAGAAGAAACUUUUGUUUUGACAUUGUUUUCAAACAAUGGCAGUUACCUGGAA